GAUGAACGCUGGCGGCGUGCUUAACACAUGCAAGUCGAACGAUGAAGCUCAGCUUGCUGGGUGGAUUAGUGGCGAACGGGUGAGUAACACGUGAGUAACCUGCCCUUAACUCUGGGAUAAGCCUGGGAAACUAGGGCUAAUACCGGAUAGGAGCGCCUACCGCAUGGGGGGUGUUGGAAAAAUUUAUCGGUUUUGGAUGGACUCGCGGCCUAUCAGCUUGUUGGUGAGGUAAUGGCUCACCAAGGCGACGACGGGUAGCCGGCCUGAGAGGGUGACCGGCCACACUGGGACUGAGACACGGCCCAGACUCCUACGGGAGGCAGCAGUGGGGAAUAUUGCACAAUGGGCGAAAGCCUGAUGCAGCGACGCCGCGUGAGGGAUGACGGCCUUCGGGUUGUAAACCUCUUUCAGUAGGGAAGAAGCGAAAGUGACGGUACCUGCAGAAGAAGCACCGGCUAACUACGUG
rnacentral:rRNA from 1 species